AACGCCGCCGCCGCCGGAAACCGACGAUUCAAUCGUCCCGCCGCAAGCUCUUCCGGCGAGGUGGAGCUCCGUCGAGGUGUCGGCGGAUGGAGUCCCGCGUCCUUUUGCGAGACCGCUCCCGAUUACCAUGACCGCAUGCCCCGAGCCCCUCUCGGAUCUCGGCGGUGCAUCCACCCCUCUCUUCCUCCCGAUUGGACGCUGCUUCUCGACCCGCCGUCAUUACUGACGACGGAACCGGGUACCUCCGAUGAUCCCAUCCUAUACUAUUCUAUCCUAUCCCUCAAUCUGUUGACGAUAAUAUUCUCUUUAUCAGCUCUUUUUGUUGAUUGAUUGGUUUGUUGAUCUCAUGCGCCGUGUGGAUUUCUUUGUUUUUCUUGCUUCUUGAUGCGAGAGAUGAUUAGUUUUGGUAGGGCACUGGUUCUUGAGUUCUUUGUUGAGCUAUUCUUUCGCUUUUAGGUUUCUACAAAGAACAAAAUUACAAUCCAAGAAUUACAUCAAAAAGGAAGGAAAAGAAAAGAAAAUAUGACCCAAUAAUCGGAUGAUGUGAAAGUGACCAUCAUUUGAAUAUCAUGCAACCAAGAAAGUAGCCAUUCCGGCUACCUCUGUCUUGGGAUAUGUCAAAGAGAUGAAGCCAUGCCUUGGAAUCGUAUCUCUAGUUCCAUUGGCAUAGUCUCUGAGACAUCUAACCCCAAAGAGAUGCCCUAUCCGGCUGAAGAGACCAGCUUUUUGCUGCUUCCGUAGUUUGUUUAUAGUUAAUAGAAUUUAAACUAAAUUGUAUAUAUAACCAUCAAGAUUUGUCCAGCUAUAUGUAGCUGGCUUGAUGAAUGCUUCUCCACCAUUUAAUUGAUUAGGGUUGCGUCUUCUCUAUUUGCUAGAUUUUUCAAUUUGUUCUCACGAUUUCCCUUGAUUUUAUCUCGAUUCCUUUGUUGGCCCCUCAACGUGCACGUAUAGAUCCAACCUCAUGCAUGUCUGCCACCAUUUUAUAUUCGACUGGUCU
rnacentral:lncRNA from 1 species